rfam:Ciona intestinalis ciona0282, whole genome shotgun sequence.
CAAUGAUUAAAGACCUAUUGCCGAUGAAGCAGCAGAUAGGACUUGAAUCACUG